rnacentral:rRNA from 1 species
UCCUACGGGAGGCAGCAGUGGGGGAUAUUGCACAAUGGGGGGAACCCUGAUGCAGCGACGCCGCGUGAAGGAAGAAGUAUCUCGGUAUGUAAACUUCUAUCAGCAGGGAAGAAAAUGACGGUACCUGACUAAGAAGCCCCGGCUAACUACGUGCCAGCAGCCGCGGUAAUACGUAGGGGGCAAGCGUUAUCCGGAUUUACUGGGUGUAAAGGGAGCGUAGGCGGCAGGGCAAGUCAGAAGUGAAAGCCCGGGGCUCAACUCCGGGACUGCUUUUGAAACUGGACAGCUUGAUUGCAGGAGAGGCG